ACAGCCUGAGCGCUGAGUUCUUUUUAGAAACGGGGGACCCAUUUUUUGUGAGAUUAACACUUGGGGUGAAUCCUUUUUUGAGGUAGGGUUACUCUUAUGACCCGAAUCCGACAGCUAACUCCGUAAGCGUGGUGAGAGAAGGU
rnacentral:sRNA from 2 species